rnacentral:misc_RNA from 1 species
UUUCCGUAGGUGAACCUGCGGAAGGAUCAUUAUUGUAUAACCGAGGUGCGAGGGCUGUCGCUGACCCGACAGGCCGUGCACGCCCGAGUGCCCUCACACACAUCCAUCUCACCCCUAUGUGCACCACCGCGUGGGUCCCCCUUUGGCUUGUUCGGAGGGGGGCUUACGUUUUCACACAAACUUUGUAUGCAGUGUAGAAUGUAUUUUUUGUUUUUGCGAUCACGCAAUCAAUACAACUUUCAACAACGGAUCUCUUGGCUCUC